rnacentral:rRNA from 1 species
GAGGAAAAGAAACCCACCGGGAUUGCCUUAGAAACGGCGAGUGAAGCGGCAAAAGCUCAAAUUUGAAAUCUGGUACCUUCGGUGCCCGAGUUGUAAUUUGGAGAGGGCAACUUUGGGGCCGUUCCUUGUCUAUGUUCCUUGGAACAGGACGUCAUAGAGGGUGAGAAUCCCGUGUGGCGAGGAGUGCGGUUCUUUGUAAAGUGCCUUCGAAGAGUCGAGUUGUUUGGGAAUGCAGCUCUAAGUGGGUGGUAAAUUCCAUCUAAAGCUAAAUAUUGGCGAGAGACCGAUAGCGAACAAGUACAGUGAUGGAAAGAUGAAAAGAACUUUGAAAAGAGAGUGAAAAAGUACGUGAAAUUGUUGAAAGGGAAGGGCAUUUGAUCAGACAUGGUGUUUUGUGCCCUCUGCUCCUUGUGGGUAGGGGAAUCUUGCAUUUCACUGGGCCAGCAUCAGUUUUGGUGGCAGGAUAAAUCCAUAGGAAUGUAGCUUGCCUCGGUAAGUAUUAUAGCCUGUGGGAAUACUGCCAGCUGGGACUGAGGACUGCGACGUAAGUCAAGGAUGCUGGCAUAAUGGUUAUAUGCCGCCCGUCUUG